AAGAUUUGCUCCGAUGGGAUAUGGGUAUAAAUGUCCCUCCGACUUGAGACCACCACGGUGACUUACAAGCAACUCACUGCACUUAGGCACUGGACUACCUGAAUUUCUAAUUCAGUGACGGAAGGUUGCUGGGUGUAGUCAAGUACUUGACUUGUCGGUGCGUAUGUCAAGAUGGGAUUGACCACUCCAGUUUAGGAGCUGUGUACAGUCGUAUUUCAAUUUAGCAAAAUCUUGGC
rnacentral:lncRNA from 1 species